UUGAUCCUGGCUCAGAAUCAACGCUGGCGGCGUGCCUAACACAUGCAAGUCGAACGCGAAAGUCCCGCAAGGGAUUAGUAGAGUGGCGAACGGGUGAGUUACACGUGGGUGACCUACCUUCGAGUGGGGGAUAACGUCCCGAAAGGGACUCUAAUACCGCAUAACAUCCUGCCUUUGAACAGGUGGAGAUCAAAGCCGGUGAUCGCAAGACCUGGCGUUUGAAGAGGGGCCCGCGUCUGAUUAGCUAGUUGGUGAGGUAACGGCUCACCAAGGCGACGAUCAGUAUCCGGCCUGAGAGGUCGGACGGACACACUGGGACUGAGACACGGCCCAGACUCCUACGGGAGGCUGCAGUGGGGAAUUGUUCGCAAUGGGCGCAAGCCUGACGACGCAACGCCGUGUGGAGGAUGAAGGUCUUCGGAUUGUAAACUCCUGUUGCCCGGGACGAAUAGCUUUGACCUAACACGUCAAAGUCUGACGGUACCGGGUGAGGAAGCCCUGGCUAACUCUGUGCCAGCAGCCGCGGUAAUAAGGU
rnacentral:rRNA from 1 species